CUUGCCUUUUUGUUUUCUUUUCUUGCCUUUUUGCUUUCCUAACCGCUCUCUUCUCCUUUUUGGUGAGCAACUCCCUUUUAGCGUUACUACCCGUCAUCUCUGCAGUGACCGCAUUAGUGAACGAAACACAGAGAAGAAGAGCAAAAGCCAAGAAAGUAAUAAAUCUAUUUAUCAUACUGCAGCAAAUUAGCGUUCUCUGUUAAGCAAUGAAAACGAAAGGAAAUAAAAC
rnacentral:ribozyme from 14 species